GAAUAAAGAGAUAUUGGUUGUCUCAGAAUUUUUUUAAUUUCAUAUUAAACAGGAUUUGAGAAUUAUUUUGUUCCUUUUUUUGGAUGACAGCAGUGUAUAAUGUAAAAUUAUCAGUUUCAUUGUCAUAAUCACUGUAAUACCAAAGGUAUUUACGUGAAAACUAUAAUUACAAUGAUAAUUUUAUGUGAAAGUAGUCAUGGAUAAAAAAAAUAAAAAUAAUAAUAAUAAUAAUAUAUAUAUAUAUAUAUAUAUAAAUAUAUAUAUAUGCAUGCUUAAAGUGAUUAAAAAAUAAAAUUACCUUACUUGAUUAAAUGUUUUGUCGUUUUUCCUUCACAGACAGCUCCUUCUGGGGCAUUAUUGCAAGGUCCAUCUGUAGUUCCACUUCCUCGUUUGUGGUCUGAGACCUUGCCACCAGAGGAUCACAAGUGGAUUGGCAAAAGGCUUUUUAAAAUGGGAUCCGAGGGAAAGCCAGAGCUUCGUGAUAACCUCCAUCUCUGGUAUUACACACCACAGCCAGCACUUAUCUACAAUCAGGCUCCAGGUCCAGACAGAUUCUUUUGUCAUUGUCUUCUGCUGUGGAUGCCGUACAAGCUGUGGAGGGUUAAGGUUCUCUGUCCCAAUCCUGCCUGUGGACAACAUCAGCUGAAAGGAGGUGGUCUGCACGAAAGGGCACGGCAGGUUCUAGACAUUGACCGAAUGUACAACAUGGACACAGAAACUCUCAUCUGUACCAAGUGUAGAGCCUCGCAUGUGUCCUGGAGUCAGACUGUCCUGCAACAGCUAGAUCUGGGGCAUCGCUCUGAGUUUCAGGUCAUCCUCACGCGGAAGUACGCCUGUGAUAUGCGGGUCAUCAGGCUCUUGCGUGAGCGUGGCUUAGGCAACAGCCCCACGCGGGUGAUCAAGCAGCUGCGUGAAAACCACAGCGAGCGGUGGCUCCAUCGUCUGGCCCAGUACACCACCCAAUGUGUUGACUUCCUCAAUCAACCCGGGGUGAUGCCAGUAAAAUUCCAGGAGCCCCCAGAGCCUUCAGUGGUACCAAGCUGCAAGUGGUUGCUCACCGUGUACAGCCAAGACAACCUGACAAGGCUAGAUGAAAUCCAUGCAAGGAUAACAUCCACCUAUGGUUCCAUCUUGAAGAUGGAUUCCACUAAAAAGAUCACCAAGAAGCUGGCUGGGACAGCGAGGGGAACGGGACUCUGGCUUACCUCUGUUGGCAACGAGUUUGGUCAGGUGAUCAUAAGUGUGCUGACAGCCCAGGAAGGAGCAGGACUGGAAAUGAUGGUAGACGGUCUGGUAAAAAGAUACCAGCAGGCUGGUGUGAAUCCACCUGCUGUGUUGUACGUGGACUGUGGGUGCUGCACAGAGGUGGGCGAGACCAAGCUGAAAACCAGAUUCAGAGGCUGGCCAGAUCUCAUGAUACGCUUGGACAUCUGGCAUUUUAUGCGCAGGAUUGCCUUGGGGUGUACAACUGAUGCCCAUCAGCUGUACCCCAUCUUCAUGUCACGGCUAUCAUCAUGCAUCUUUGAAUGGGAUGCGGCUGAUAUUUCUAUGCUUCGCAAAGCACAGAGAGAGUUGUUGAUGUCCCAGGGUUGGCCUGCGCUGACAGAUGAAUUGCCGGAGGAGGACACGUGGAGAGGAGACUACCAUCCUUCUCCUUGAACGACUGCUUACAGAGCUCCUGAGCAGCAAGGGAAAUGACUCCCUGGGUGUUCCUCUCCUGGACCGAGAAAGGAUGGAGAAAAUCUGGAGUGUCCAGAAGAAGCACGUCGAGUGUAUCCAAGACCCCCCAGGUGUUGCCCUCUAUACAGAGAACUGUUUGUCAAUUUACAGGGACCAGUGCAAACAGUCUGAACUUUCAGAUUUUUUUGCUGGAGGGUCUACACAGGUGGAACCAGGAUCGGGAGGCUGCUUCCCUGUCAUCGGAGCCAUCAGCUUUACGCAGCUACACAGGAGAACUUGUUCACUGUGUAAACAGCAAUUAUGAAAAGCUGUUUGGCAGGAAAGUGGUCCCCACGUUUUGCCCCCCUGCACGUUACACCGGUAAGAUAAUUUAUUAUUGUUAAUUAACUUGGAAUUUCUGUGUAAUCUCAGUUGAUAUUUUAUUUAAGCCUAUAAAGUCUACUGUAUCUGUAUUUUAGACCUCUAAAUUAU
ensembl:lncRNA